CGCUGGGUGGGGAGUUAGCGGUGCCCUGAAUCUGCAAUCCGCUGUAGCAGAGCCGAACGGCGAAGUCGGAAUUUUUAUUUUAUAUACUUUUUGUGGCAAGUAAUGUUGAGUAUAAAGUCUUAUGCAAUAGUUAAUUGCGAACCAUGUCAGGUCUUGACGGAAGCAGCAUUAAGCAAACCUAAUUAUGUGCCAUAAGGUGGCUUUGUAGGAGUUGUC
rnacentral:SRP_RNA from 1 species